rnacentral:miRNA from 1 species
UCCCUCUCUGCUCAGCGCCCCUUCAGCAAAGCGGGAGGAGAAACAGGAGCCCCUUCCGUUUCUCCUCCUGCUUUGCUGGAGAGGCGCUGAGCAGAGAGGGA